rnacentral:rRNA from 1 species
UACAGAGGUCUCAAGCGUUGUUCGGAAUCACUGGGCGUAAAGGGUGCGUAGGCCGCACGGUAAGUCAGAGGUGAAAUCCCGGAGCUCAACUCCGGAAUGGCCUCCGAUACUGCCGUGCUCGAGGACUGGAGAGGAGUCUGGAAUUCACAGUGGAGCAGUGAAAUGCGUGGAUAUUGUGAGGAACACUAGUGGCGAAGGCGGGUCUCUGGACAGUUCCUGACGCUGAGGCACGAAGGUCAGGGGAGCAAACGGG